UACGUAGGCAGCAAGCGUUGUUCGGAGUUACUGGGCGUAAAGGGUGCGUAGGCGGCUUUUUAAGUUUGGUGUGAAAUCUCCCGGCUCAACUGGGAGGGUGCGCCGAAUACUGAGAGGCUAGAGUGCGGUAGGGGAGACUGGAAUUCCUGGUGUAGCGGUGAAAUGCGCAGAUAUCAGGAGGAACACCGGUGGCGAAGGCGGGUCUCUGGGCCGUAACUGACGCUGAGGAGCGAAAGCAUGGGGAGCGAACAGG
rnacentral:rRNA from 1 species